UGAUGAUGCGCCCAGAGGUGCAGACACUGUAAUAUCUGCUGGGGUCCAGAGAUGAGGGAGUGGUUUUGGUCUUUUGUUUUCCCCAAGAACAGAGAAUAGCAGGCAGCUGAGAGGCAGCAGCCAGAUCUUUACAUGUGAGUGGUGGCUUAUCUGUGUGCUGAUGAGAUGGGAUGUGUGAUGUGUUUAUGGGUACGUGUGUGUGUGUGUGUGUGUGUGUGUGUGUGUGUGUGUGUGUGUGUGUGUGGGGAUGUGAUAACAGCUUCUAUCUGUAUCUGGGGUCUUUGCAUUUCUGUCCUGCUGUAUACAGGGUGGGUCACAACAGCUUCACUGAUGAUCCAGUGACUAUCCAUUACCCAGGGUAGAGUGUGUGAGUGAAUGUGGUCUUGACUCUGUGCAGGAGGGUCAUUGUGUCAGAGAUGCUGUAGAAGACCAGAGUUCCUGCCCUGUGAUCCACACACACUCCCAUUCUGGUAUCUGGCCACUAGGGGGAGUUGUGUCUCUUCAUUACUGUGCCUGAAUGAGGAACCAGAGCCGG